UCCGGAAUAGCUCAAUGGUAGAGCGCUUGGCUCCGGUCUGAGCAGGUGCUGGUUCGAUUCCAGCUUCCGGACCCA
rnacentral:tRNA from 1 species